rnacentral:rRNA from 1 species
GUUUACGGCCAUGCCAUCCUGAACAAGCCCAAUGUCUGAUCUCGGAAGCUAAGUAGGAUCCGGCUUGGUUAGUACUUGGAUAGGAGACCACCUAGGAAGAGCAGGUACUAUAGGCA